rnacentral:rRNA from 1 species
GCGCAGCAGGCGCGAAUCUUCCGCAAUGGACGAAAGUCUGACGGAGCGAUACCGCGUGGUAGAUGAAGUGCUUCGGCACGUAAAUACCUUUAUGUGGGACGAAACUAUUGACGGUACCACAUGAAUAAGGGGCUCCUAACUCUGUGCCAGCAGGAGCGGUAAUACAGAGGCCCCAAGCAUUAUCCGGAAUCACUGGGCGUAAAGGGUGUCGAGGCGGUCAUAUUAGUCGUUCGUUAAAUCCGUGGGCUCAACCUACGGCGUGCGAGCGAAACGGUAUGACUCGAGGUUGUAAGAGGUGCGUGGAACUCACGGUGUAGGGUGAAAUCCGUUGAUAUCGUGGGGAACACCAAAGGCGAAGGCAGCGCACUGGUACAAAUCUGACGCUCACACACGAAAGCCAGGGUAGCGAACGGGAUUAGAUACCCGUGUAGU